rnacentral:rRNA from 1 species
GUAUUGGGUGGAAAGUGGCGAACGGGUGAGUAACACGUUGGUGACCUGUCCCGAGGAGGGGGAUAACCGUGGGAAACCAUGGCUAAUACCCCGGAUGUCUAGGUUGUUAGAGAGCCUAGGCCAAAGCUCCGGCGCCUUGGGAGGGGCCUGCGGGCUAUCAGCUUGUUGGUGGGGUAACGGCCUACCAAGGCUAAGACGGCUAAGGGGCGUGAGAGCGCGACCCCCCACAAUGGAACUGAGACACGGUCCAUACUCCUACGGGAGGCAGCAGUGAGGAAUAUUGCGCAAUGGGGGCAACCCUGACGCAGCAACGCCGCGUGGACGAUGAAGGCCUUCGGGUUGUAAAGUCCUUUUUUGGGGGAUGAUAAUGACGGUACCCCAAGAAUAAGUCCCGGCUAACUACGUGCCAGCAGCCGCGGUAAAACGUAGGGGGCGAGCGUUAUCCGGAUUUACUGGGCGUAAAGCGCACGUAGGCGGCGCUGUAAGUUGGACGUGAAAGCUCUCGGCUUAACUGGGAGAGGUCGUUCAAUACUGCGGUGCUCGAGGUUGGGAGAGGAGAGUGGAAUUCCCGGUGUAGUGGUGGAAUGCGUAGAUAUCGGGAGGAACACCAGUGGCGAAGGCGACUCUCUGGUCCACACCUGACGCUGAGGUGCGAAAGCGUGGGGAGCGAACGGGAUUAGAUACCCCGGUAGUCCACGCCGUAAACGAUGGAUACUAGGUGUAGGAGGUCAUUUACCCCUUCUGUGCCGUAGCUAACGCGUUAAGUAUCCCGCCUGGGGACUACGAUCGCAAGGUUAAAACUCAAAGGAAUUGACGGGGGCCCGCACAAGCAGCGGAGCGUGUGGUUUAAUUCGAUGAUACGCGAAGAACCUUACCUGGGUUUGACAUGUUGGUAGUAGUGAAGCGAAAGCGGAACGACCCUUCGGGGAGCCAUCACAGGUGCUGCAUGGCUGUCGUCAGCUCGUGUCGUGAGAUGUUGGGUUAAGUCCCGCAACGAGCGCAACCCUCGUCGUUAGUUACAAGUGUCUAACGAGACUGUCGGUAUCAAACCGGAGGAAGGUGGGGAUGACGUCAAGUCAGCAUGGUCUUUUAUAUCCAGGGCUACACACACGCUACAA